rnacentral:rRNA from 1 species
GACGAACGCUGGCGGCGUGCUUAACACAUGCAAGUCGAACGAUGAAGCUGGAGCUUGCUCUAGCGGAUUAGUGGCGAACGGGUGAGUAACACGUGAGCAAUCUGCCCUUGACUCUGGGAUAACUGCGGGAAACUGUAGCUAAUACCGGAUACUUUAACCGGGGGGCAUCCUCUGGUGAUGAAAGAAUUCAGGUCAAGGAUGAGCUCGCGGCCUAUCAGCUUGUUGGUGAGGUAACGGCUCGCCAAGGCGACGACGGGUAACCGGCCUGAGAGGGUGACCGGUCACACUGGGACUGAGACACGGCCCAGACUCCUACGGGAGGCAGCAGUGGGGAAUAUUGCACAAUGGGCGCAAGCCUGAUGCAGCAACGCCGCGUGAGGGAUGAAGGCCUUCGGGUUGUAAACCUCUUUUAGCAGGGAAGAAGCGAAAGUGACGGUACCUGCAGAAAAAGCACCGGCUAACUACGUGCCAGCCGCCGCGGUAA